rnacentral:lncRNA from 1 species
UUGAGAAUUUUCUGCUCUGAAGACAAAGACAAGGCCUAAAUCAGCCAGUUGAUCCCAAUCCUGUGGCCUCACUAUUGGUUUGAGGGCUGUUGUGGUCCUUUUGAUACCACAAGGGAGAAGUAUGUUGGAGAAAAAAGCCAAAACAUGGAGGAGAACACAGCUAACAUAGGGAGAAACAGAGUCCUGGUGAUAGAAACAGAGCUCAUGAAUCCAGCCAUACUUGAAAAGAAAACUACUACUUGCAGGAUCUCACUAUGCAGUCCAGGCUGGCCUUGAUCUUGAGGUGAUCUUCCUGCCUCAGCCUACUGAGUGCUGGGAUUACAGGCAUGCACCACUAUACCUGGCAAGCCACUACUCAUUAUGUAGCCCAUACUGGCUUUGAACUUGUACUCCUGAUGCCUCAGGUUCCCAAGAGCUGGUAUUACAGACACUUCCAGAUGUACCCUGUUCUGAGAAGACUUGGAUCAUAGUACAGCCUGUCCUGUGUCAAAUAGGUGAACACGACUUCUGCUAAGACU